rnacentral:tRNA from 1 species
AUAAUUUAGUGGCCGAUUUAAGGUGUUAGUCUCUUAAAUUAAUGAUGGAUUAAU